rnacentral:rRNA from 1 species
GUGCCAGCAGCCGCGGUAAUACAGAGGUCUCAAGCGUUGUUCGGAAUCACUGGGCGUAAAGGGUGUGUAGGCGGCGUGAAAAGUCAGAUGUGAAAUCCGGGGGCUCAACCUCCGAAAUGCAUCCGAUACUGUCAUGCUGGAGGUCUGUAGAGGGGUCUGGAAUUCUCGGUGUAGCAGUGAAAUGCGUGGAUAUCGAGAGGAACACUUAUAGCGAAAGCAAGACCCUGGGCAGAAUCUGACGCUCAAACACGAAGGCCAGGGGAGCGAACGGGAUUAGAUACCCCUGUAGUCC